rnacentral:sRNA from 1 species
CAGGUAUAAAUCUACGAUAGUAUCCUGC